AAGUCGUAACAAGGUUUCCGAUGGAACCAAGGGACUGCGGUUCUUUGGCAUCGUCACAAACUGUUACAACUCUUAGCAACGGAUAUCUUGGCUCUC
rnacentral:misc_RNA from 1 species